UACGAAGGGUGCAAGCGUUAAUCGGAAUUACUGGGCGUAAAGCGUGCGUAGGUGGUUUUUUAAGUCUGCUGUGAAAGCCCUGGGCUCAACCUGGGAAUGGCGGUGGAUACCGAAAAGCUAGAGUGCGGUAGAGGAGGGUGGAAUUCCCGGUGUAGCGGUGAAAUGCGUAGAUAUCGGAAGGAACAUCAGUGGCGAAAGCGACUUCCUGGACCAAUACUGACGCUCAUGUGCGAAAGCGUGGGGAGCAAACAGG
rnacentral:rRNA from 1 species